AUGGCGGCACCGCAGUGGCCGACUACGACGACUACGGCGUCGGCGUGCAUCCCGGAUACGGCGCGCGGCACGCACGUGUUCACGGUCGCCGGCUACAGGCUGCACAAGGGCAUCGGCGUCGGCAACUUCAUCCGAUCUGCCACCUUCGCCGUCGGCGGCUACGACUGGUGCGUCUGCUACUAUCCCGACGGAUUCAGCGCUGAAUACAAGGACUAUGUUUCAGUCUGCGUCGAGCUCCAGAGCAAGAAGUCCGUGGUGAGGGCUCUCUACGACCUUAAGCUGACCGGGCUGUCGUCAUUGAUCUUCUCCCGGCCAUCUUCUUUCCCGGCGUUCGACUCCUGCAAGAACGAGCAUUUCAGGGGGGCUUACACGUUCAUGAGAAGGGGCGUCCUGGAGGCAUCCCCAAGAAAAUACCUGCAGGAUGACUGCCUCGUGAUCCAGUGCGAUGUGACUGUUCUCCUCAAGAAAAUACCGGCCGUGGCCACCACCACCGCCAAGACGCCUCACAUCGAGGUGCCGCCCUCUGACCUGUCCAAUAAUCUCGCAAGGCUGCUUGAGGGGAAGAAAGGAGCGGACUUGGUGAUCAAUGUCAGUGGGGAGACCUUCUACGCACACAAGAUCGUGCUCGCGAUGCGGUCUCCGGUCUUCAAAGCAGAGCUCUAUGGGCCAAUGGCAAUGUGCGACACCGAGAAGCAGUGCAUACAGAUCGUGGACAUGCAGCCCGCCGUCUUCGGAGCAUUUCUUCACUUCAUAUACACAGAUUCAUUGCCUGACAUGGAAGACCUCCUUGACAGCCAUGACAAGAGGGAGGUGAUGAGGCAUCUGCUUGUGGCUGCAGACAGGUAUUCCAUGAACAUGCUCAAGCUGAUGUGUGAGGUCAUCCUUUGCAAGGGUCUAGAUGCCGAGAGUGUCGUCGCCACGUUAGCUCUCGCUGAUCAGCAUCGUUGCAGCAAGUUGAGAGACGCUUGCAUCGAGUACAUCAAGCUCUUCUGUUAG
rnacentral:rRNA from 1 species